rnacentral:lncRNA from 1 species
UAUUUUGGGACGGAGGGAGUAUUAUUUCUAUUCCGAAGGGAAAUUAUUCAGCUUGCUUUAGAUGGCUGACUAAUGAAAAUGGAGAAAUAGAGAUCUCCAUUGCGUAAACUCUAAAUUCCUCUAUUUUUACCAAAAUAAUGUCGUGUAUUAAAACGUUUUGGCGUAAUGGUAUGCUACUAUGCUAGUGCUGUUCGACGGUGGCAUCUUUGUGCGUAGUAACAUGUCUACCUUAAUCAUGCGCUUAUGUUUGGGUAGGAACAACAAAUCAUUCUAAUUCUUAGGUUGCACAGUUCAAUGCUACUUUUGGAUCUCUCUAGCUGAUCAGUACUCCAUGCUACCUUCUUAACCUAGACUCUUGAGAUAAAACAUUGGUCUUUUCAUGCUAUAAGCCUAUAACAAUUGCAGAUUCACUUGUUCGACAAUAUUCUUUCAUAGUUUUUUUUGUAUUGAGGUCCAUUGAGUAAGACAUUUGGUUUAUGCAGGCACAUGAGUUGCUAGUUCUUGAAAGGUAUUUAACUGGAAGCUUGCUGUUUUGCUUUGCAAUCAUCAAGAAUGUCUGCCUAAACAUGUCAAAUUUGUACCUGAAGACUAGUUUAUAUUGUUUAAGUAUGACAUAUAAUUAUUAGCCGCCUUUCUCGAAGAACAAAUGGGUGGAUAAAAUAGGUCAUUUUCCUAUGUUUUAUGCAGUGGUCGAUGGUUUUGCUUAGCCUACCUGUUUGUGAAAAACAUAUGCAAUAUUAUUUAUGCAACCUUCCUAUGUUGUUCUCUCUUAGCUUUGUAAGACGGUUACAUUUUCUCUUGGAAUUCUAUUUAACAAAGAGAGUUAUAUAAAUCCGCCUGCCAGUAGUUUACAACAUUACCAUUCUUCUUUUCUCAGAUGAAAAUGAUGAUACGUGAAACAUUUACGCAAUGUCUUAAGGUGGGUGCUUGGCUAUUGUGGAUAUGCUCCAAACACAUCGCUCGACAUCUGUCUUAGCCGUAGUGUUAUGUCUUAGACAGUCAAUUUCUUGUGACAUUAUUAUUUCUAGUAUCAGGCCUACUUUAAUGCUGUAUCCUUUGAUGCUUCAGUUUAAAGAAUAAAGGUGCCGUUGCGAUGUUCAAUCUCCUGAUGUAUACUUUAUUUGUUUGUUUUAUAUAGAGAUGGGUCUAUCUGCUCCAAGGUGAUAAAACGCCGGAAGACCUGCUCGUGUCGUGCAAUCAGUCUGAUAGAAUUUUGUAGAGUAGUGAACUAAAUGAACUUCUGUGGUAAUUUAUUUUAUGACACGUACAAUCAUGGUUCUGUUGGGCCUUUCCAAGUUCUCAGAUCAUAUCUUUUAUCUUGAUAUAAACAUGCAAGGACAAAUUGCAGAGUGAUGGUUGUGUUUGUUAACAACAGUUCCGAAUGCCAUUUAUAUGGUAAGGAUCGAUGAGAAACAUGUUUAAUAAUGCAGUAUUGCCUAUCUGUUGGUAUUUGAUAUUCUAGCUGCAUUCAUACAAGUCAUUUCCCAACCUGGAAUUAGCUUACAUCCCAAUAAAUAGUUCCAAUUCUUCAUUUCCAUGGUCUCAUCUGGCAAUGUUUCUGUGAACUUUGUUUAAAUUUGCAGCUAACUGGACCUAUGCACGUUCUGUGUUAAUGGUUGUGUUUUUUUUUGUACCUGAUUAUACUAUAGGCCGUUUUAUCAACCAGUUGGUUCCGAGUUUGAUGCGAGAGAAUUACGAUAGAUGUAGGGUGAAAGAAUGUGCAAAAAUCACAAGAUUGUGCGUAGUGUGGGCUCACCUUCGAGUGUGUGUAGUGUUUUUCAUUCCAGAUUUUGUUACGUUUUAAAACGUGGAAUUAUCGUGUUGCUUUCUUGCUGUGAAGAAAUCGCUGUUAUAAUGGAAAGAGUUGGUUAGCCAAAUGAGAACCUUUGUAUUCUACUCUGCGUCAAGCGGGAUCGCUGCAUAGAUCACUUGAAUUUUUUGGAAACUAGAGUCGAUUUCUGCAACCACUGACGGCUCUUCCCUUCUACAUCUACGCACUGCCUCUGCCCUCUUAGGGCAUGCCCAACGGAAAGGCGCUUGUUCGAGCGCUUGUGAACCAUGCCUCUUGCACGUCGGUGGAAGCGUCCAUGCCUCUUGCACAACCGAAAACAGCCAGAACUCACUCUAUGCAAAAUUGGACGUUGCACCCGAUGGCAGGCUUGACAUCGACGCCAGCAGAAAUCCUGCGAUUGGACGGGAUUUUAACAUCGAAAAACAGCCAGAACUCACUCUAUGCAAAAUUGGACGUUGCACCCGAUGGCAGGCUUGACAUAGACGCCAGCAGAAAUCCUGCGAUUGGACGGGAUUUUAACAUGAAACCACGGUAAAUUGAACCCUGGCGCCCGUCGUAGGAGCCCCCGAUGUAGAUGUCCUAAGAGCGUCUCCAACCAUUUCAUACAUAGAGAUAUCAACGAGCUAUGAAAAGAAGAUUGCAAACUACUACAUACUACUCUGCUCCAAGUUGUUGGAAGAGAGCUCGACGAACCCUUUGUCGGAGCCGUUCAUCUCGUGGUUGUUGACGGUGGGCGAGUCAAGGGCAUCUCCCCUCUAGUGUUGUUUGUGAAGAGCUCGCCCCGCUCGAUGUCGUGGCAAUGGAUUUUAUGGCGGUUUGCCAUCACCACUCUCUCAGACUCGAGGAUGGCGCUGUUCUAUGGGACAACGGUGUUGUCGACGACGGGCUUGGCGAAGGCAGCAGUUCCCCGUGCUCGGCCUCGAACUGUGCCUUCGUUGCGAGGUGCUCCGCCUCCUCGGCUUGGGCGGGGUCAACCUUCAUGCCCUCCUCGUAUGAGCUCGGCUCCAAAGAGCUUGGAAGUUGGCAGGGCGUUGUGCGGGUCAUGCGUUGUGCAACAACGUGCAACUCCAUCGUGGGUGCCGACCAACAUGAGAAAUCUUAUAUUGUAUAACCUUCUCGUCGACCAUGGCGAACAGCUAGGUCAGAGCAUACGAGGACGCGGUGGUGCGGACCAGAGAGGAAAGGGAGGAAAUGAGGGUUGUUAGGGUUUGGCCCUCGCUAGCCGACUUUAAUAGCCGGAACCUGGCCCUCGGAUGGUGUGCCACUAUGAAUGCAGGCAUUAAACUGGUGAGCUUUGUGGUGGGUCGAUGGGAUUUCGUGUUGGUUGUGGUAGUCGGUCCAACAUGAUGGGCGUGUCCGAUCAGUCUCAAUUCGGCCCCACAUAUGGACUAGAAACGCAUAGUGUCGGGGAUAUUGUCGGAUAGGCCGGGCACAUGGGCUAGGUUUGCAGGGUUUGGUUGGAUGACAAUUUUUUGUCUAAUAAGAUCUUGUUUGAACUGUUUGCUUGAACAUAUGGGGACGAAGUGGAAGAUCCCAUUGAGGAUGCUCUUGUCCAGAACAAACGGUCGUCUCCCUUGCUCAUUGCGCUGCUACCAUGUGGCCUUUGACCACACACUAGUGGUUGGGGCCCGCCAUUGCGGGCCUCCCGAGAGGAAGUUGGGGCGUUGCCAGGUAAAGACAUGUCCCUUUCAUUUUCUUGUUUGUAUCAUAGGGUGUUCUUCUAUCACUCGAAGUACACGCAUUUAAGCCCAUUGACAACCAUGCAAUUAAAUUAAACAAAUCUCUAAAGAAUGCAACUUAUCAUUCACAACCUUUUCACGUGAGAGGAUCAUUGUGUUUUUUCUAAUACAAUGAUUAUAACUUCCCUUGAUAAAGCUGACAAGCUAAGAAAACAUUAUUUUCUACUCUACAAGAGCUUCCAAAAAUGGGAGAGACUCAUGGAAGGCUUAGUAUGAUCCAUGUAAUAUAAGGAAGAAUUGGCGGCGGGGGNGGGGGGGGUGGUGUAAGACCUGCAGAAAACCAAAUGUACAAUGGGAAGCAAAUAAGAACAAUAGCUUAGUAGCAUCACGAUAUAUGUAGUCAUGCAGUCGAUAAGAUACCCCCCAAAAUCUCACCAAAUAUCAUUCUUUUAGUUUAUGAAAAUAAAUCAAAUACCUCACAUUAAUCUCACCAAGCUAAGAGCAAAUUCAAAGCAUGAGUGGGGAGGCAAGGCACUAGAGAGACAAAGAGAUAGCGCCAAAGCUAAUACUUGUGUACAUGUAGCAUCUCAUAUCUCUUGAUGCUCUUUGCUACGGCCAACUACCCAUCAACUCAUGCCACAUCUUCUGCAAAUGAUACAUGUUUGGAAUUGAAAUAAAUUAAUUGUAUUAACAUGGUAUCACUGGAGUUGUGUCUAUUACCACUAACUAAUGAAUUUCCAUUACAAUAUUCUUCUAUGAGCAAUGUGAAAGAAAAUAAUGAUACAGGUUAGAAUAUAUAGACAUGACAUAUUAUGUCAGACUAGACAAAAGAUGACACAUCAAAGAAAAUCAUAGAGAGUUGUAUUCUUCAUUCCUUGCUGCAGUUUAAAUAAAUAUGAUGGAACUAAUCAAUCUUUUUAAUGGCUGCAACAAAUAACUAUUGCCCUAGUAAAUCAAAACUAAUUUUUAAUAGCCACUAAUUUCCAUUAUAUAUGAACCAUCUGUAGUAAUCCAAAGUAACAUCACACAAAACCAUAUAUUUGAAAUAAUAUAGCAACUUAUUGAUCUGGUUGUGCUUCUCUUCCGCACCCUUCAAUCUGAUUGUGUGUACCUAUAAGAACAACUUAGCUGCUUCCACUAAUCAAAGUGAUUGAGUGAUUUAAUGUUGGCAAAAAAAGUACUAUAGAGCUAUCAGGUAAUACAUUGAGAUUCUCUUCAGAAAUAUGUUUGAUUUGGGAUGCUUUCUCCUUUGCAAGAGCUACACCUAGUUUGGAUUUUCUUAACUCUGGGCCUUCUCAACUUAUUGACUUGCCUCGCCGUCCUAUUACGCCAGUCAUAGUACGGUUACAUAAAAAAUUGAUGGGAGGACAGUGCAAAAACUAUGGCACAAACACAUAGGAACGACCAUCCACUUAAAGUUACAAUUUGGGCACAAACUAUGGCAGAAACACAAACUAUGGCACAAAAUUAACAUUGUGGUUUUAAUUGAAUGGAGGCUUUUAUACCACGGCUUAUACAAUUGGGGCAUCAUCUCCUUAUGUGAACAUCAGAAGCGAAAGGAUAAAAAUUGCUAUCAAUUAUGCAUGGGUUGAUUUAGCAAACAAUCUUAUAUUGUCCACUGUUGCUUCAAAAGCUACCCGUAAGAAGAUUCAACAUCAUGGUAUGGAGUCCACCAGAUUUAGAUCCUAAUAGUAGUCGAAUGGUUCAAUCCCAACCCCGCCCAGUUCCUUAAAACCAAAUGGAACAAUUCCGCAAUCCUAAACCCAAAACAACACCAAUAUUCAUACAUGCACACACGUCCUCAUAGUCCAUACCAAAUUUACAACAACUUUGAUUUUCUUAAUACUACUAACAAACAAGAUGUAGGGAGAGAAAGGGCGAGAAGAGUAAAGAUCCAGGUGUGGUAGAGAGGAAAAGAAUGAGCGCACCUGAGAUGGUGAAGGUCAGGUUGAUGCUGGACAUGCCGAUGAUUGGGAGCAGGAGGAGGGAUAUCGGCGUCGUUGCCCUCGUUCUGUCGCCGAACUCCAGCGCUGCCUCCUCAUAGCUGCCACGAACACCCCAAGCCUCCUGCGCCAGAUCAAUACGCUGCCAUCAGUGUCGAGGAAGAUC